AGAGUUUGAUCAUGGCUCAGAUUGAACGCUGGCGGCAGGCCUAACACAUGCAAGUCGAGCGGUAGCACAGAGAGCUUGCUCUCGGGUGACGAGCGGCGGACGGGUGAGUAAUGUCUGGGAAACUGCCUGAUGGAGGGGGAUAACUACUGGAAACGGUAGCUAAUACCGCAUAACGUCGCAAGACCAAAGAGGGGGACCUUCGGGCCUCUUGCCAUCAGAUGUGCCCAGAUGGGAUUAGCUAGUAGGUGGGGUAACGGCUCACCUAGGCGACGAUCCCUAGCUGGUCUGAGAGGAUGACCAGCCACACUGGAACUGAGACACGGUCCAGACUCCUACGGGAGGCAGCAGUGGGGAAUAUUGCACAAUGGGCGCAAGCCUGAUGCAGCCAUGCCGCGUGUAUGAAGAAGGCCUUCGGGUUGUAAAGUACUUUCAGCGGGGAGGAAGGCGAUAAGGUUAAUAACCUUGUCGAUUGACGUUACCCGCAGAAGAAGCACCGGCUAACUCCGUGCCAGCAGCCGCGGUAAUACGGAGGGUGCAAGCGUUAAUCGGAAUUACUGGGCGUAAAGCGCACGCAGGCGGUCUGUCAAGUCGGAUGUGAAAUCCCCGGGCUCAACCUGGGAACUGCAUUCGAAACUGGCAGGCUAGAGUCUUGUAGAGGGGGGUAGAAUUCCAGGUGUAGCGGUGAAAUGCGUAGAGAUCUGGAGGAAUACCGGUGGCGAAGGCGGCCCCCUGGACAAAGACUGACGCUCAGGUGCGAAAGCGUGGGGAGCAAACAGGAUUAGAUACCCUGGUAGUCCACGCCGUAAACGAUGUCGACUUGGAGGUUGUGCCCUUGAGGCGUGGCUUCCGGAGCUAACGCGUUAAGUCGACCGCCUGGGGAGUACGGCCGCAAGGUUAAAACUCAAAUGAAUUGACGGGGGCCCGCACAAGCGGUGGAGCAUGUGGUUUAAUUCGAUGCAACGCGAAGAACCUUACCUACUCUUGACAUCCAGAGAACUUAGCAGAGAUGCUUUGGUGCCUUCGGGAACUCUGAGACAGGUGCUGCAUGGCUGUCGUCAGCUCGUGUUGUGAAAUGUUGGGUUAAGUCCCGCAACGAGCGCAACCCUUAUCCUUUGUUGCCAGCGGUUAGGCCGGGAACUCAAAGGAGACUGCCAGUGAUAAACUGGAGGAAGGUGGGGAUGACGUCAAGUCAUCAUGGCCCUUACGAGUAGGGCUACACACGUGCUACAAUGGCGCAUACAAAGAGAAGCGACCUCGCGAGAGCAAGCGGACCUCAUAAAGUGCGUCGUAGUCCGGAUUGGAGUCUGCAACUCGACUCCAUGAAGUCGGAAUCGCUAGUAAUCGUAGAUCAGAAUGCUACGGUGAAUACGUUCCCGGGCCUUGUACACACCGCCCGUCACACCAUGGGAGUGGGUUGCAAAAGAAGUAGGUAGCUUAACCUUCGGGAGGGCGCUUACCACUUUGUGAUUCAUGACUGGGGUGAAGUCGUAACAAGGUAACCGUAGGGGAACCUGCGGUUGGAUCACCU
rnacentral:rRNA from 1 species